UGGGGAAUAUUGGACAAUGGGCGAAAGCCUGAUCCAGCAAUGCCGCGUGAGUGAUGAAGGCCUUCGGGUUGUAAAGCUCUUUUACCAGGGAUGAUAAUGACAGUACCUGGAGAAUAAGCUCCGGCUAACUCCGUGCCAGCAGCCGCGGUAAUACGGAGGGAGCUAGCGUUGUUCGGAAUUACUGGGCGUAAAGAGUACGUAGGCGGUGAUUCAAGUCAGAGGUGAAAGCCUGGAGCUCAACUCCAGAACUGCCUUUGAAACUAGAUCGCUAGAAUUGUGGAGAGGUUAGUGGAAUUCCGAGUGUAGAGGUGAAAUUCGUAGAUAUUCGGAAGAACACCAGUGGCGAAGGCGACUAACUGGACACAUAUUGACGCUGAGGUACGAAAGCGUGGGGAGCAAACAGG
rnacentral:rRNA from 1 species